rnacentral:rRNA from 1 species
ACGCUAGCUACAGGCUUAACACAUGCAAGUCGAGGGGAAACGGCAUUAAGUGCUUGCACUUUUUGGACGUCGACCGGCGCACGGGUGAGUAACGCGUAUCCAACCUUCCCAUGACUAAGGAAUAACCUGCCGAAAGGCAGACUAAUACCUUAUGGUCUUCACUGACGGCACCAGAUGUGAAGUAAAGAUUUAUCGGUUAUGGAUGGGGAUGCGUCUGAUUAGCUUGUUGGCGGGGUAACGGCCCACCAAGGCAACGAUCAGUAGGGGUUCUGAGAGGAAGGUCCCCCACAUUGGAACUGAGACACGGUCCAAACUCCUACGGGAGGCAGCAGUGAGGAAUAUUGGUCAAUGGGCGAGAGCCUGAACCAGCCAAGUAGCGUGCAGGAUGACGGCCCUAUGGGUUGUAAACUGCUUUUGUAUGGUGAUAAAGUCAAUCACGUGUGAUUGUUUGCAGGUACCAUACAAAUAAGGACCGGCUAAUUCCGUGCCAGCAGCCGCGGUAAUACGGAAGGUCCGGGCGUUAUCCGGAUUUAUUGGGUUUAAAGGGAGCGUAGGCUGGAGAUUAAGUGUGUUGUGAAAUGUAGACGCUCAACGUCUGACUUGCAGCGCAUACUGGUUUCCUUGAGUACGCACAACGUUGGCGGAAUUCGUCGUGUAGCGGUGAAAUGCUUAGAUAUGACGAAGAACUCCGAUUGCGAAGGCAGCUGACGGGAGCGCAACUGACGCUGAAGCUCGAAGGUGCGGGUAUCGAACAGGAUUAGAUACCCUGGUAGUCCGCACAGUAAACGAUGGAUGCCCGCUGUUGGUACCUGGUAUCAGCGGCUAAGCGAAAGCAUUAAGCAUCCCACCUGGGGAGUACGCCGGCAACGGUGAAACUCAAAGGGAAUUGACGGGGGCCCGCACAAGCGGAGGAACAUGUGGUUUAA